GGGGACUCGGGUAGUGGCGCACGGGUGCGUAACGCGUGGGAACCUGCCUUUAGGUUCGUAAUAACUCAGAGAAAUUUGAGCUAAUACCGGAUAAUGUCUUCGGACAAAGAUUUAUCGCCUUUAGAUGGGCCCGCGUUAGAUUAGAUAGUUGGUGGGGUAAUGGCCUACCAAGUCGACGAUCUAUAGCUGGUCUGAGAGGAUGAUCAGCCACACUGGGACUGAGACACGGCCCAGACUCCUACGGGAGGCAGCAGUGGGGAAUAUUGGACAAUGGGCGAAAGCCUGAUCCAGCAAUGCCGCGUGAGUGAUGAAGGCCUUAGGGUUGUAAAGCUCUUUUACUAGGGAUGAUAAUGACAGUACCUAGAGAAUAAGCUCCGGCUAACUCCGUGCCAGCAGCCGCGGUAAUACGGAGGGAGCUAGCGUUGUUCGGAAUUACUGGGCGUAAAGCGCGCGUAGGCAGCUUAUCAAGUCAGGGGUGAAAUCCCGGAGCUCAACUCCGGAACUGCCCUUGAAACUGGUUGGCUAGAAUAUUGGAGAGGUAAGUGGAAUUCCGAGUGUAGAGAUGAAAUUCGUAGAUAUUCGGAAGAACACCAGUGGCGAAGGCGACUUACUGGACAAUUAUUGACGCUGAGGUGCGAAAGCGUGGGGGA
rnacentral:rRNA from 1 species